GACGAACGCUGGCGGCGUGCUUAACACAUGCAAGUCGAACGGAAAGGCCCUGCUUUUGUGGGGUGCUCGAGUGGCGAACGGGUGAGUAACACGUGAGUAACCUUCCCUUGACUUUGGGAUAACUUCAGGAAACUGGGGCUAAUACCGGAUAGGUGCUCCUGCUGCAUGGUGGGUGUUGGAAAGUUUCGGCGGUUGGGGAUGGACUCGCGGCUUAUCAGCUUGUUGGUGGGGUAGUGGCUUACCAAGGCUUUGACGGGUAGCCGGCCUGAGAGGGUUACCGGCCACAUUGGGACUGAGAUGCGGCACAGACUCCUACGGGAGGCAGCAGUGGGGAAUAUUGCACAAUGGGCGGAAGCCUGAUGCAGCAACGCCGCGUGCGGGAUGACGGCCUUCGGGUUGUAAACCGCUUUCGCCUGUGACGAAGCGUGAGUGACGGUAAUGGGUAAAGGAGCACCGGCUAACUACGUG
rnacentral:rRNA from 1 species